rnacentral:rRNA from 1 species
CCUACGGGAGGCAGCAGUGAGGAAUAUUGGUCAAUGGACGAGAGUCUGAACCAGCCAAGUAGCGUGAAGGAUGACUGCCCUAUGGGUUGUAAACUUCUUUUAUAUGGGAAUAAAAUGUUCCACGUGUGGGUUUUUGUAUGUACCAUAUGAAUAAGGAUCGGCUAACUCCGUGCCAGCAGCCGCGGUAAUACGGAGGAUCCGAGCGUUAACCGGAUUUAUUGGGUUUAAAGGGAGCGUAGGUGGUUUGUUAAGUCAGUUGUGAAAGUUUGCGGCUCAACCGUAAAAUUGCAGUUGAAACUGGCAGUCUUGAGUACAGUAGAGGUGGGCGGAAUUCGUGGUGUAGCGGUGAAAUGCUUAGAUAUCACGAAGAACUCCGAUUGCGAAGGCAGCUCACUGGACUGCAACUGACACUGAGGCUCGAAAGUGUGGGUAUCAAACAGGAUUAGAUACCCCUGUAGUC